AGAUCUCCAUUCCUCGCACUCACAACGCUCGAUCUCUCUCUUUCUCACUCGUGGUCGCGAAUUCGAAUUCUUCAUCUCUCUCAGUGAUGAAUCGCGAAUUCGAACCCUAGCCUCCAAUCCCUUUCACUGAAUCACAAAAUCUAAUUCCUAAUUGCAGAUUCGAGGCUCACUGAACCCUAAAAUUCAACUCAGUGAACACGAAUUGAAGCUCUCUCUCCUCACAAAUCGAAGCUCUCUCAGUGGAAAUCUGCUGUUUAAAAUCUGUCUGAUAUCUGAGGCAAUGGAUAUUAGAACAAAACAAGGGUUGCUAAAUGCUCUUGUGGGAAAGGCAGGGAAACGGAUGGAUACUCUUUUGGUUCCUUUGGAGUUGCUUUGCUUUUUUGCACGCACAAAAUUUUCUGAUAAGAAGGAUUUUAUUUGUUGGUAAAAGAGGCAGAUCAAAUGUAAGAUAACAUGGCAAAAGCAAUGAUGUUUUCACCGAGGCCUGAGUGUCCGCUCUACGCUGGCAAGAUGUAGGCUGAGGAAGAAGUGAAGGCAGUGAGUGCAAAGAAGCAAAAGUUAGAAGAGGUUAAGCUAAAGAAGGAAGGAGGAAAGUAGUUCAGAUGAAGAUUCCUCUGAUGAUUAUGAGGACGAGAAACCUGUUGCAAAGUCUGCUGCUCCCAAAAAAUAAAAGACCGCAGCUAUUUAGGAGCAUGGCCGGGUUUCUCUCUUAUUUGACGAUGUACGUUGUUUAGCUUGAGUUUUGGUAAGUUGCUAUAUAGGGGAGCUCUUAGGCCUUGUGAACUGUCUUGAUUUUGAUGACAAUGUUGGUGAUGCAAUUUAGGAAAGGGAUGUAUGGUGCUAUUGUACAAAAUAUAUUGUGAUUUGAAUUUAGUAAGUAUUAGGCUUUGGCGUUUUAGUCAUGUUAGUGGUGAACUAUCUUGAUUUAGGAAGGGAGCUAGGUAUGUGUAAAGUUAUUGUGUGGUGAAAUGUUUUGAUUUUAAUUUUGGAUGUUGAA